CAAAAAGGAGUUUAACCUCAAUAUGUAACU
rnacentral:piRNA from 1 species